UCGUUUUUCCAAUAUUUCAAAAAUAAAAAAGAUCCAUUUUUUUGAAAAAUAGCUAAUUUGCCCAUUAUUUAAAUAUUUUUAAAAGCAAAUUUUCGGCAACUACAGUACUCUUUAAAGGCACACACUCUUUGGAAUUUU
ensembl:ncRNA C44E4.10 ncRNA